GAGUUUGAUCCUGGCUCAGAUUGAACGCUGGCGGCAUGCUUUACACAUGCAAGUCGAACGGCAGCGGGGGCUUCGGUCCGCCGGCGAGUGGCGAACGGGUGAGUAAUGCAUCGGAACGUACCCAGUCGUGGGGGAUAACGCAGCGAAAGCUGUGCUAAUACCGCAUACGUCCUGAGGGAGAAAGCGGGGGACCUUCGGGCCUCGCGCGAUUGGAGCGGCCGAUGUCGGAUUAGCUAGUUGGUGGGGUAAAGGCUCACCAAGGCGACGAUGGUUAGCGGGUCUGAGAGGAUGAUCCGCCACACUGGCACUGGAAUACGGGCCAGACUCCUACGGGAGGCAGCAGUGAGGAAUAUUGCGCAAUGGGGGCAACCCUGACGCAGCGACGCCGCGUGAGUGAGGAAGGCCUUCGGGUCGUAAAGCUCUGUCAAGAGGGAAGAAAUGCAUGGUGGUUAAUAUCUGUCAUGUUUGACGGUACCUCUAAAGGAAGCGCCGGCUAACUCCGUGCCAGCAGCCGCGGUAAUAA
rnacentral:rRNA from 1 species